rnacentral:rRNA from 1 species
AUUGAACGCUGGCGGCAUGCUUUACACAUGCAAGUCGAACGGUAACAGGCCGCAAGGUGCUGACGAGUGGCGGACGGGUGAGUAAUGCAUCGGAACGUGCCCAGCCGUGGGGGAUAACUACUCGAAAGAGUAGCUAAUACCGCAUACGAUCUAUGGAUGAAAGCGGGGGACCGUAAGGCCUCGCGCGAUUGGAGCGGCCGAUGUCGGAUUAGGUAGUUGGUGGGGUAAAGGUUCACCCAGACAACGAGCUGUAGCUGGUCUGAGAGGACGACCAGCCACACUGGGACUGAGACACGGCCCAGACUCCUACGGGAGGCAGCAGUGGGGAAUUUUAGACAAUGGGCGCAAGCCUGAUCCAGCAAUGCCGCGUGCAGGAAGAAGGCCUUCGGGUUGUAAACUGCUUUUGUACGGAACGAAACGGCUCUGGUUAAUACCCGGGGCUAAUGACGGUACCGGAAGAAUAAGCACCGGCUAACUACGUG